rnacentral:rRNA from 1 species
GAUGAACGCUGGCGGCGUGCUUAACACAUGCAAGUCGAACGGUGAACGAGGGAGCUUGCUCCCUCCGGAUCAGUGGCGAACGGGUGAGUAACACGUGAGCAAUCUGCCCUGGACUCUGGGAUAAGCGUUGGAAACGACGUCUAAUACCGGAUACGAGGCGUGGGGGCAUCCCCAACGCCUGGAAAGAAUUUCGGUCCAGGAUGAGCUCGCGGCCUAUCAGGUAGUUGGUGAGGUAACGGCUCACCAAGCCUACGACGGGUAGCCGGCCUGAGAGGGUGACCGGCCACACUGGGACUGAGACACGGCCCAGACUCCUAUGGGAGGCAGCAGUGGGGAAUAUUGGACAAUGGGCGCAAGCCUGAUCCAGCCAUGCCGCGUGUGUGAAGAAGGCCUUCGGGUUGUAAAGCACUUUUGUCCGGAAAGAAAUCCUGUCGGUUAAUACCUGGCGGGGAUGACGGUACCGGAAGAAUAAGCACCGGCUAACUUCGU